GCGUUCGAGGUGUAGUGGUCAACACGCUCGACUCGUAUUCGAGAGGUCCGUGGUUCGAGUCCAGGUGAGAGCA
rnacentral:tRNA from 1 species